AAGUCGAGCGGCCAGCCGUAGCAAUACGGCCUAGAGCGGCGGACUGGUGAGUAACGCGUGGGUGACCUACCUAGAGGUUGGGGAUCGCCGUUAGAAAUAGCGGGUAAUACCGGAUAUGGUUAUUUUGCUUUGGCGAGAUAAAGAAAGGGGCUUUGGCCCCGCCUUUAGAUGGGCCCGCGUCCCAUUAGGUAGUUGGUGAGGUAAGGGCCCACCAAGCCUGAGAUGGGUAGCCGGCCUGAGAGGGUGAACGGCCACACUGGGACUGAGAUACGGCCCAGACUCCUACGGGAGGCAGCAGCUAAGAAUAUUCCGCAAUGGGCGAAAGCCUGACGGAGCGACGCCGCGUGGAUGAGGAAGGCCGAAAGGUUGUAAAAUCCUUUUGCCGUUGAAGAAUAAGGCGGGGAGGGAAUGCCCUGCUGAUGACGUUAGGCGGCGAAUAAGCCCCGGCUAAUUACGUGCCAGCAGCCGCGGUAACACGUAAGGGGCGAGCGUUGUUCGGAAUUAUUGGGCGUAAAGGGCGCGUAGGCGGCUGUGCAAGUCUGGCGUGAAAUGGCGGGGCUCAACCCCGUGAUGGCGCUGGAAACUGCGGAGCUUGAGUCAUGGAGGGGGAGUUGGAAUUCCGCGUGUAGGGGUGAAAUCUGUAGAUAUGCGGAAGAACACCGGUGGCGAAGGCGAACUUCUAGCCAAUGACUGACGCUGAGGCGCGAAA
rnacentral:rRNA from 1 species